GGCUGCGUGGCGCAAUGGCAGCGCGUUACUUUCCGGUUCCUCAUCUCUCAGUUGGUAAAGGCUUUGGGUUCGAGUCCCAACGCGGUCG